rnacentral:rRNA from 1 species
UGCCAGCAGCCGCGGUAAUACGUAGGUGGCAAGCGUUAUCCGGAUUUACUGGGCGUAAAGGGAGCGUAGGCGGAUGAUUAAGUGGGAUGUGAAAUACCCGGGCUCAACUUGGGUGCUGCAUUCCAAACUGGUUAUCUAGAGUGCAGGAGAGGAGAGUGGAAUUCCUAGUGUAGCGGUGAAAUGCGUAGAGAUUAGGAAGAACACCAGUGGCGAAGGCGACUCUCUGGACUGUAACUGACGCUGAGGCUCGAAAGCGUGGGGAGCAAACAGGAUUAGAUA